rnacentral:rRNA from 1 species
UGGGUAAUCUACCCUCGGUUUCGGGAUAGCCCGGGGAAACCCGGAUUAAUACCGAAUGGCCUCUCAGGCUCUCGGGCUUGAGAGAAAAGGUAGCUUCGGCCUCUGACCGAGGAUGAGCCCGCGGCCGAUUAGCUAGUUGGUGGGGUAAUGGCCCACCAAGGCGACGAUCGGUAGCUGGUCUGAGAGGACGAUCAGCCACACUGGGACUGAGACACGGCCCAGACCUCCGUACGGGGAGG